GAGAUCACAGCUCUCUUAAGCUUCCUCCUGGAUUUCGUUUCUGCCCAACUGAUCAAGAACUCGUCCUCCACUUCCUCUAUAGCAAAGCUUCCCUCUUGCCUUCUCAUGAAAUCAUUCCUGAUCUCCAUCAUCUUCAUCCUCUUGAUCCAUGGAACCUCCAUGGUAAGGCCCUUUCUAGUGGAAACCAGUGGUAUUUCUUUGCACAUAUGAUGGAAUUUGAGAGCCAGCAGCAGGUCACAGAGAAUGGACUGUGGAAGCAACUGGAUGUUCAGCAACCUAUCUUUAGUGAUUCUGGUAACAAGAUUGGAAUCAAGAAUUAUCUCGUCUACUAUAUCGGCCAACAUCCUGCUGCUAUAGAAACCAAUUGGAUGAU
rnacentral:misc_RNA from 1 species